rnacentral:tRNA from 1 species
AGUCUUAUAUUCAUAUAGUGAUAAUAGAAUGCAAUUCUGUAGGGGUAGUUAUACUACUAAGACUU